ensembl:lncRNA
AUGUCUCUUCAAUACUAUCUGAGACUGGCUCUGGUUGGUUUGGCUCUUUCUGUUGUGGGAUGUUUGCCUGAAGUAUCAAUAGGAGAUGUCACGGAUGAUUCAAAGAUCAAAAUACAAGCUCUGGAAAGUUUCAAAAGUGUUAAUCCACCCAUUCAAAAUCCAAUAAGAGGCAGUCUUCAAAGCAACAGAGAACAGUUUAACAGCAAAUAUCAGCUGCCGUGGAUCAGCUCUGCCUCAUACAACCAGAGAAAUGAUGUCAACUCAGUCUAUUCAGUCCCACAUAAAGUCCAGUCCAAUAUCAGAAAUAAACCUGUUGAAUUAUCAAGCGCCAAAUUUAAUGAUGAAAUUGAUGCCAAAAGAAGCUAUGCUUCCCAAACAGUCCAGCAGGAACAAAAUACUUUAGACGUUAAAGGGAGCCAAAUUAGCUCUAGUAAUAUUAAUUUGGCCCCAAGGCUGGUGAGGAAAAAAGGUGGAAUGCAUGCAGCAUAUGUGCAUAGAUCAGGCUCAUUUGGACAUCAACAUAUUUCUAAAUCAGAAAUGCACUCAGGCAGUUCACAACCAUUAGGACUCAAUGAACCUUAUUUGAAGGAAAAUAUUCCAACUAAUUAUAUGCCUAGAAGCUCAACAGUGAACCACAAUAUGAGGCACAAAAGUAAUGGAAACAUGCUGAUGGAAAAUUUUCUUCAAAACAAUGGCCAGAAUCAAAACAUGCUGAGGAGAGUUGUACCAUCAAAUACAUCUCCCUCAAUUGUAACAGCAAAUCAGCAAAAGAGCCAACCAUUGCCACAAGCUUUUUCUGCUGGGACUGGAAUCAUUUCUCAAAUUUCCUACGAGAAUAUGAGGGACGUAGCUCUUUCAAAGGUGUUCAAAACGCCAAUCCCAACACCAAUAUCACCUGCAUUUAAGAGAUCAAAUUCAAAUGGAGGUCCUAGCAUCCUUCCAUUAAUAAAAUCUCAGAUGUUUUCUUCUCAGCAGGAUCACAUCAAGCUGUCUAAUUCUGAAAGGGUUGCCAAUCCAAAAGCAAAUCUGCAAAGCAGUUUUGAAUUUGGAAAUACAAAUAGCUACAUGCUCGAGAACAUUCAGUCGACACAAAAUGGUUACCAAAAUGGGGGACAAAGUAGUCAGAAUGUUGUGCCCAUUCAAACCUUUCACAAUCAAAAGAAGUAUGAUAAUCUGGCUACAGGUAUAUCUGCCAUCAGGCCUUCAGUCACCAAUAAUGCCCACUCUUACUUCCUAUCAGAUGAAAACAGUGGCAUCCAGAUGUCUGCACUACUCAAACGGUCAAAAGAAAUCACUGACUUGACCCCACGAAUGCAGUUUGGAAAGAACAAAAUGUUAUUUUCAGAACGUGAUACAAAUAUUUAUCUACCAGACCUAACAAAUCAUUCAUUGAGGAAGCCAAGUCAGCAUAAUGCGCAAAAUAGGUCACAUCUGAAUUCCUUCGGCCAAAGUACUGUACAAUCGUUAUCCAUUAAACAUUAUCCUGCGCCAAGUCUUGUGCCAGGUAACACAUUGAAGAGUCAUGUCCACGGCUUUAGUCCAUCUGUGGCUGGGACUCAGGGCGCAUCUAAAAAUUCAGGUACGUCUAGUAGCCGACCAUAUUAUCUAACUUUUAAAAAGCCAUAUGCUUUUAAAGGUUUCACAUUUGUCCCUACAUUGCAGACAUCGCUACAAAAAUCAGAAAUGCACUCUGGCCAAAAGCCCCUCUUAAAGUCUUUAUCUAAUGUGCAAUAUGCCCCUGCUCGUUCACAUACCGCCCAAAGUGCACUCGCUCAAAAACCCUUGAUGCAUAAGAGCUACAAAAAAAUGCUUUUCCAGUUCAAGGACAUUGAAUCAAGCCAAGAAAAACAACUUUAUUGGGAUCAGACAGAUUCUUUUGAUAAUGGACCUAAACGUGAAACCAUCUCUUCUACUGAAGGUGCAAGUAACCUGAUGUCUGAUGCUCUAAAGCACCAUGCUGUUAGAGGUCAAGCUGUAGCAAUGAAAACAUCUCUCAGUGGCACAAAUACUACAAAUAAUGUAGCUGUUGACGAAGUUCAGUCAAAAACAUCUCAGAGGUGGACUUCAAGUAGGCUUACUUCAGCACAGCCCUCUAAAUCUAACAAAGAUGAAUUCCCAACAGGCAGUUUUGUUAGAUCCAACUUAAACAAAGCAUCCAUAAAAUCUAGCAACAGUCAUAACAGUCCCACAUCAGAGCUUAUUCUUCCAAUUCAUAAGUCUUCUCUUAUGAACAAAGUGACUGGGUAUCCUCGAAUACACAAUGCUGCUAUCCAGCCACUUCGCAGGUAUGUUUUGAAGGAACAUGAAGGUGUGUUAAAUCCAACAAAGGAAAUUAAAGAUAGAAAUUCUACUGGAAUAACACAGUCAAAUACUACUGAAAAUUAUAGCCCCAUUAGACUGAGACCGACCAGCAGCUUUGCGAUUGGAAGGCAAGUUAAAGACAAUUCAGACCACCAGAACAUCUAUGCUAUCUCAACCUCUCAAUCUGCAAUUUAUAGAUCUGCUGGCAUUAAUAGUCAAAAAACGGAUGGCUCUACAAAGCUCACUUUCCAGUCACCUAUGCACAGAUCUGCUAUGAAACCUUCUGGCAAAGUUAACAUCCUAAAAGCUAAUGCAGCUUCAGACUGGAGGAACGAAACGUCUCCAAUCUCAGAAGCAGAUAUCAACCUUAGUGCCGUCAGUGUGUCCCAGGCUUUAAGACCCACAACCAAACCCAACCUUAACAUGUCUAUGACAAAAUCAGGCCUAAACAAUUAUAAACCAGUUCAGAUUUCCUAUAUAGCAGGUAGCACCUCCUUCACCGAUGUCAAACCACAUUCUGCUAACACCAAGGCGAAGGAAGAAGUGGAUCUCGAAAGUGAUCAAAACAGCAGUAAUUCAACAUCAGUGAUGGAGGAAAGUUUUAAAGAGCUGGUUUUAGACAGUUCCUCUAUGAUCUCAGCCUUACAAAAUGAAAUGGAUGAAAGUGCAAUGGAUUUACGCGUCCCUGAGCUUAUGCCAACAGCUGCUUAUGAGUCACAGCUGGAGCCUGGGAAUCAUACCACACCUACAGCAGAGGAUAUUGAUCCAUUUUAUGAGGGGACAUUGAUACCCAAUACCACUUUGCAGGACGAAAUGACCUCAAGUUGAGAUCUGCCCGCAUGCAAUCCAAUGGCAGCCGUCCUUAACUGCAAUGUGAGGUGAUUUUCUCUUCUGUAGGUAGAUGGCGCCAGAUCUAUCCUCACAUUAAUUUGCAUUAAAUUUCUGAGUUCUGAGUUUCAUAGUUUGUUCUUUACUUCCCGCUGAUAGUCAUGAUUUUGGAAGAAAAAAUGUGGAUGAUAUUAACCAUUUUUUCCCCAAGCAAUAUAUUCAGAUGUCUUAUAUCAAACCGAAUUUGAAAACAGUAAACCUUGCAUCCAAAUAUAACUUUCUGUUAUUGAAUAUAAAUCAUGAAAUUAGUUUACUGAUGUGAGGAUGGGUUCAGACAUGUGAGCACACUUUGUUUCCAUGCCAAUAAUUUUUUCUCUCUCGAUAUUAUAGUCUCCAAAGUCCAUGGAUUUGAAUUGAGUUUUCUUGAAGUAUCACUGACAAACUGUGAUUUUAAUUAUUCAGGCCAAGCUAUUUAAAACUUAAUCACUUAAUUAUUAUUAUGAGCAGACAUUUUAACGAGGCAAGAGGUCUUUCUUUAGGUCAUUCCUGUUGUGCAGUAACUUUUCAACUCUGGAACUUUUAAGAUAAUUAAUAAUGUGUUGUAAAUUAAGCAAGUAUUUCUAUAAAAGUGAAUACCAGACUUUAAGAAAUAAGCUCUGGUUAAAAUCAGGGACUUAAGCAUUAUUUAUUAUAAUUUGACUAUUUACACAGUGCCAAGAAAAAGAACAGGACUGAAAUAAGGACCACCUUAACAAUACCCAAGAGUAAGUUUAACUGACAAUGUCAACUUGGUUAACUGUGAUAUAAAACAGAAUCAAUCAGAAUUUAUUGCUAAAAUGUACUUACAUGUGUGCUGUUGUUUCCCCACCAAAACAAUUUCACUUCCUUUGGUUUGAUGUCAUUGAGAUGUCACUUGAGACUGGUCUUUUUUGUUUAAAGAGAAAUUAAGUACAUGGGUAAAUAGGCUAUAUUCCCGUGUGAACAUGUUUUGUUGAAACAUUAAAGAAUAAACAAACUGCAACAUCUGCUCCA